UGUCCAACUGGAAAUUAGAGGGGAGUCCACACUGGGAGGGGGUGGGUAAUACGGGGGAAAGAAGAGAAAGGCUGCAGGCAGUGGGGCCAUGGGGCAGGGACAUCAGGAUUCCUGGCAAUAGCCCGGGACCCACCACAUAGGGAGGGGAUAUGUGCCGGCUGAGGGUCAGGGGGUCCACAAGUGUCCGGGGGGAUUGACAGGAACUAGGGUAGAACGGGGUCUGGGGUCCUGUGUCCACCACGCUGAGCCCAUGGAACUAGGAAGUGUGGAUGGGGCUACGGCACAGAAGGACUCAGCUUCCUCCUCCUAAACUGGGCUGCGUCGACAGUGUCCCAAGGGUCCCACAGGCUCAUAGACGACUCUGUGUCCUGGGAUCUUCAUCCCUGGCCCUCUGUUCUCCCCUCCUGGGAAAAUGCUUCCUACUCCCUCAAGGUCCUUUGGAGUGGAGGGCAGCCUGGCCGCCUGGAGGACCAAGGACCUGGGUUUGCAGCACGUGGCCAAGCAGUGGACCCUGAUGUGGACACCGAGGUCAAGAGCCUCCUUGUUGGAGCCUCGGUUCCUCAUUAGGAAGUGGUUCCCCAGGCAGAGCUCUGGCUGGGGAGAGGAGGCCUCGUGAGGGACCUGAGCACCGGGCCAGGGGAGGGACACGGGCCACAAGGGAGGCUUCUGAGGGUUGUCACCUGGACCCUGGAGCCCACAGGACCUGUGCCUAUGAGACACAAAGAGAGAGACAGAGUCUGAGGCAGGGACCGAAAAUGGACCCACGAGAGAGGAAACCAGAAAUUCCAUGAAUCGUCUCAGAAAUGACACCCGGUCAUCCUAUUCUAGCCCUUAGAACCCGGUCACACGGGCCGUCCACCCGGGAGGGGAGGGGGUGACAGAGGCACGUAGGACCAGGAAUCGGGAAGGCUGGGAGCCACAGUGGGGACCGCCCAGCACGUAGGCCCAGACCAGGCACUGAGACCCGAGCCCAAAUGUAAUGGAGCCCCUGGCAUGCGUGUCUGGUGGGCACAGGGUCUGAACGAAUUCACCUCCACCUUCCCUGGGCCUGGGACCCAGGCAGGAGGGGUGGCUGUGCCUGGACCAGGAGAGGACCCAGGCCCGUGUCAGUGUGUUCCGUGCCAGGCCCACCCUUUCCUCGUCCUUCCACGGCCCCGUGUGCCCACGAGCCUCAUGGGAUAGCAGGCACGGGACGUGUCUACAGGUGGCUCCCUGAUGGUACCCCUACGAGUAGAUGCCAGAAGGACCCCACUGUGCAGACGGGUGACCGGGGGCCCCGGGAGGCACAAUGCAGGGUCCCAGCACUGGUCAGGGGGAAAACCCAGGUCUGAACCCAGCUCUGUGGCCCCAAAGCCACGGCACCGGCCGCACCAGGCCUCGCGGGGACGUGUCUGGGCUGUGUUGGUGUCACUGUAGGGACAGGGCAUGGGGUGGAGGGGAGCCCUUUGCAGCCUGGGAGGGGCUCUUGUAGGAGCAGGAAGCCGGGUAAGGGGACCCCAGGAAGUGACCUCACCUCCCUGGUAACAGACCCCAACAGAACUCGGAACCCGGGUCACCAGGCACCCACAUUCUGGAGACAGCCCCCGACUGGGCUCAUUCGUUGGGACACCUUUGCCUGACAAACAUGUUCUCCUGUUGUGUGCCCGUGUCCCGCAGCUGCCGGCUCGGGGGAGCCCGUGGCCGCGACGCUUCCCGACCCUGGAGACAUUGGGUCAGUUCGUCCACAGGACGCCUCAGGUCUCUAGCUCGCAGGGACCCAAAGAAAUCAACCGAUGAAAUCGGGAAACGAUUGGCGGAAUCUGGAUUCACCCGCCCUACAGAGUUGUGCUUGGGCCCCGUCGCCCAGGAGGGCCACCCUGGACCCGUGGAGAGAGAGGCCGCACUGAGGUUUGGGGAAGCAGGGCCUGGAGUUGGCCUGGGAAAGCCUCCUCCAGCACCCCGGCUCCGCCGUAAGGUCUUCGUUCACCGGUCCUGGGACCAGUACUUGGAGUCCCCGGAGUCAGAGCCCGAGGGUGAGAAGGCUGGGGGUGGGCGAUGGGGGUGCACGGGGCCCGGGUGGUGCUGGGCCACCCUGGGAGGAGCCCCCGGGGGCUGGUGUGGGGCCAGGAGCGGACUGAGAGCCCCGGGCUGCGGACUGCAGGGUGCAGAGGUCCUGGUGUGGGUUCCUGGCCGCGGCUUCUCGGGGAGGCUCUGGGGUGAGUUGUGUCUCUGCAAAGGCCCCUGGAGAGGCCGGCGCUGGGUGGGGUGGGGGACCUUCCCUCCUCUCACCCUGAGGCCUUGGAGCCGCUGCAACCAUCACUCUGUUUUCUUCUCAAGAGUCCGGUGCAGGAGGAAAAGCCGGGUCGGCUCCAGAGCCGGGCCCAAAGGCAUCAGGUGCCUCGGCGUAUCUGCAGGCAGGCGUGGUAUCUGGAGCGACUCCUGCAGGGGCCCGGGAGCCAGCAGGUGACCUGGGACCUGUGCGGGGACAGCGGGCCCCUGAGCAGGGUCAGCUGGGUCCUGUUCCUGCUGGUUCCACUGUUCCCGCUUUCGCUCCCAACACUGCUCCUGCCAUCGCCCUUCUCCCCGCCCCUGCCACUGCCCUUGAUCCCACAUGGGUGUCGGCCAAAAAUCAAGGGGUUGAAGACCUAUACAGGGUGCUUUUUUUAUCUUAUUUUAUUUUUUGUUUAUUAUAUUUUAUUUCAAAUUCAUUCUCCAAUCCCUGACCGUGACCCCCCACCAAGAUGUCUCUUCCUCUUCUCUCUUAUCCUUUUUCUCUUCUAUAUUUUAGGUAUUAUGUUCUUUGUUCAUUAGUUAUAAUCUAUAUUAAUCUUCAAUAAAAUGUUUUAUUUA